UGUCCUGGGUGCUGGGAGCAGAUCUAACUCAUCUUUGUUUUUCUCUGCAUGCGGCUCAGUGCCUGGCACAGUGGAAUCCCUGAGGAAGUGCUGGCUUCCUUGUUUCAGCUGGAUCUUUAAGUAGUCCCACGAGGAAUGUUACAGCCUUCUACAAAAGACAAGCAAAAGCCAGGAAAUAGUCACAGUGUACUUGUGAGUCAGAGCCGUGUGACGCCUCUUCUUGCAAGACAAUCCUCCCGCCCUGCUGCCAGGUGACAUCCUACAUUCUCUCUCUGCACAGACUCUCCGGGGGCGCUCUCAACUCCGGGGCCAUUCUUUUGGAACCCCGAGACUUGAUGUGACAGUCACCAAGCCUGUUAGGAAAGGAGCUGACUUACUGGAAUGUGGAGUCAAAUGCCGGAGCUGCUGGAGCCCAGAGAUUUAUGCUAACAAGCUCCAGAAACACAGUUACACAGCCAGAAGAAAAGGUGCCUUCAGUGCCAACAACUUGCAACAGGUCAGCUUUAGAUGGAGAGGAAGGACUGGACAGUUCCACACAGCUUCUUGGGGCGCUUUUAUUUCAGGGAUGUUUUUCUGUUUUCCACUUUGGCCAGUACUGGCUUCUCUCUACUAGUACUGGAAAAAGCAAAGAAGUAUGCUUUGGGGCUCUGCAGUUCCUGAUGUUUGAACCUUGGUUAACUUGGAUUUCUAAACCCUGCCUGAUGGAGAAGCAGAGGUCCUUGCCUUUGGGAGCUCUUCUGAGCUAUUAGAGCUCUAUGUAAUCAUUUGGGCAAACGCCUUUGGUGUGAAAGCCCUUGUCUUCAGGAUUUCCUUUGUACAAUUUUGAUGUCCUAUUGGAUUAUUUAGGAAGUUGCCAGUAUAACAAGAAACUCUUGACUUCUGAAA